rnacentral:rRNA from 1 species
UACGUAGGGGGCGAGCGUUGUCCGGAAUUACUGGGCGUAAAGGGCGUGUAGGCGGCUAGAGAAGUCGCAGGUGAAAUCCCACGGCUCAACCGUGGAACUGCCUGCGAAACCAUUUAGCUUGAGGACAGGAGAGGAAAGUGGAAUUCCUGGUGUAGCGGUGAUAUGCGUAGAUAUCAGGAGGAACACCGGUGGCGAAGGCGGCUUUCUGGCCUGAUCCUGACGCUGAGGCGCGAAAGCUAGGGGAGCAAACAGG